rnacentral:rRNA from 1 species
GACGAACGCUGGCGGCGUGCUUAACACAUGCAAGUCGAACGGAAAGGCCCUGCUUUUGUGGGGUGCUCGAGUGGCGAACGGGUGAGUAACACGUGAGUAACCUGCCCUUGACUUUGGGAUAACUUCAGGAAACUGGGGCUAAUACCGGAUAGGAGCUCCUGCUGCAUGGUGGGGGUUGGAAAGUUUCGGCGGUUGGGGAUGGACUCGCGGCUUAUCAGCUUGUUGGUGGGGUAGUGGCUUACCAAGGCUUUGACGGGUAGCCGGCCUGAGAGGGUGACCGGCCAAAUUGGGACUGAGAUACGGCCCAGACCCCCACGGGGGGGAGGGGUGGGGAAUAUUGCAAAAGGGGGGGAAGCCUGAUGAAGCAACGCCGGGGGGGGGAUGACGGCCUUCGGGUUGGAAACCGCUUUCGCCUGGGACGAAGCGGGAGGGGCGGUAAUGGGUAAAGAAGCACCGGCUAACUACGU